CCUGGCUCAGAUUGAACGCUGGCGGCAUGCCUUACACAUGCAAGUCGAACGGCAGCACGGGUGCUUGCACCUGGUGGCGAGUGACGAACGGGUGAGUAGUGCAUCGGAACGUACCCAGUAGUGGGGGAUAACUACCCGAAAGGGUGGCUAAUACCGCAUAUACUGUGCGCAGGAAAGCAGGGGACCGUUUGGCCUUGUGCUACUGGAGCGGCCGAUGUCAGAUUAGCUAGUUGGUGGGGUAAAGGCCUACCAAGGCGACGAUCUGUAGCGGGUCUGAGAGGAUGAUCCGCCACACUGGGACUGAGACACGGCCCAGACUCCUACGGGAGGCAGCAGUGGGGAAUUUUGGACAAUGGGGGCAACCCUGAUCCAGCCAUGCCGCGUGAGUGAAGAAGGCCUUCGGGUUGUAAAGCUCUUUCGGACGGAAAGAAAACGGAGUGGUUAAUACCUGCUCUGGAUGACGGUACCGUCAUAAGAAGCACCGGCUAACUACGUGCCAGCAGCCGCGGUAAUACGUAGGGUGCGAGCGUUAAUCGGAAUUACUGGGCGUAAAGCGUGCGCAGGCGGUUGAUUAAGACAGGCGUGAAAUCCCCGGGCUUAACCUGGGAACUGCGCUUGUGACUGGUCGGCUAGAGUACGGCAGAGGGGGGUGGAAUUCCACGUGUAGCAGUGAAAUGCGUAGAGAUGUGGAG
rnacentral:rRNA from 1 species